UACGGGGGGGCAAGCGUUGGUUCGGAAUUACUGGGCGUAAAGGGCUCGGUAGGCGGCCAACUAAGUCGGACGUGAAAUCCCCAGGCUCAACUGGAACUGCGUCCGAUACUGGAUGGCUUGAAUCCGGGAGAGGGAUGGCAGAAUUCCAGGUGUAGCGGUGAAAUGCGCAGAUAUACAGGAGGAACACCGAUGGCGAAAGGCAGCCUCUCU
rnacentral:rRNA from 1 species